CUGGCUCAGGAUGAACGCUGGCGGCGUGCAUAACACAUCAAGUCGAACGGUGGAGCGCCUCGGGUGCGGAUCGAGUGGCGGACGGGUGAGUAACGCGUGAGCAACCUGCCGUAUAGUGGGGGAUAACACAGGGAAACUUGUGCUAAUACCGCAUGACACAUUGGAAUCGCAUGGUUUUGAUGUCAAAGAUUUAUUGCUGUACGAUGGGCUCGCGUAUGAUUAGACAGUUGGCAGGGUAACGGCCUACCAAAUCAACGAUCAUUAGCCGAACUGAGAGGUUGAACGGCCACAUUGGAACUGAGAAACGGUCCAGACUCCUACGGGAGGCAGCAGUGGGGAAUAUUGGGCAAUGGGCGAAAGCCUGAACCCCAGCGACGCCGCGUGAGGGAAGAAGGUCUUCGGAUUGUAAACCUCUUUCAGCAGGGAAGAAAAGAUGACGGUACCUGCAGAAGAAGUCACGGCUAACUACGUGCCAGCCGCAGC
rnacentral:rRNA from 1 species